rnacentral:rRNA from 1 species
AUUGAACGCUGGCGGCAGGCUUAACACAUGCAAGUCGAACGAGUGGCGGACGGGUGAGUAAUGUCUGGGAACGUGCCCGAUGGCGGGGGAUAACUACUGGAAACGGUAGCUAAUACCGCAUACCAUCGGAUGUGCCCAGAUGGGAUUAGCUAGUAGGUGGGGUAAAGGCUCACCUAGGCGACGAUCCCUAGCUGGUCUGAGAGGAUGACCAGCCACACUGGAACUGAGACACGGUCCAGACUCCUACGGGAGGCAGCAGUGGGGAAUAUUGCACAAUGGGCGCAAGCCUGAUGCAGCCAUGCCGCGUGUAUGAAGAAGGCCUUCGGGUUGUAAAGUACUUUCAGCGAGGAGGCGUUACCCGCAGAAGAAGCACCGGCUAACUCCGUGCCAGCAGCCGCGGUAAUUC